GAUGAACGCUGACAGAAUGCUUAACACAUGCAAGUCAACUGUGGCGGACGGGUGAGUAACGAGUAAAUAACUUGCCUCACAGCUAGGGACAACAUUUGGAACCGAAUGCUAAUACCUGAUACUGUGAGAGAGCUUUGCGUCCCAUUCUCUAGUUGGAGAGGUACCGGCUCACCAAGGCGAGGAUGGGUAGCCGGCCUGUGAGGGUGAUCGGCCACAAGGGGACUGAGACACUGCCCUUACUCCUACGGGAGGCAGCAGUGGGGAAUAUUGGACAAUGGACCAAAGUCUGAUCCAGCAAUUCUGUGUGCACGAUGAAGUUUUAGGAAUGUAAAGUGCUUUCAGUUGGGAAGCGGUACCAACAGAAGAAGUGACGGCUAAAUACGUGCCAGCAGCCGCGGUAAUUC
rnacentral:rRNA from 1 species